AGCUCCAAUAGCGUAUAUUAAAGUUGUUGCAGUUAAAAAGCUCGUAGUUGGAUUUGGGACUGGAGUCGUUCGGUCGGCCGCAAGGUCUGUUACUGAACGGCUCUGUCAUCACAUUCCCAGAGACCUGCCGUGUACUUAACUGUGUGCGGUACGGGAUUUGGGACGUUUACUUUGAAAAAAUUAGAGUGCUCAAAGCAGGCUUUAGCCUGAAUUCUGUUGCAUGGAAUAAUAAAAUAGGACUUCGGUACUAUUUUGUUGGUUUUCUGUACAGAAGUAAUGAUUAAAAGGGACAGACGGGGGCAUUCGUAUUUCCGGGGGAGGGGUGAAAUCCGUAGAUCCUGGAAAGACGACCAACUGCGAAAGCAUUUGCCAAGAAUGUUUUCAUUAAUCAAGAACGAAA
rnacentral:rRNA from 1 species